rnacentral:rRNA from 1 species
CCUACGGGUGGCUGCAGUGAGGAAUAUUGGGCAAUGGACGAAAGUCUGAACCAGCAAAGUCGCGUGAAGGAUGACUGCCCUAUGGGUUUUAAACUUCUUUUAUAUGGGAAUAAAACGUUCCACGUGUGGGAUAUUGUAUGUACCCUAUGAAUAAGGAUCGGCCAACUCCGUGCCAGCAGCCGCGGUAAUACGGAGGGUCCGAGCGUGAUCCGGAUUUAUUGGGUUUAAAGGGAGCGUAGGUGGAAUGUUAAGUCAGUUGUGAAAGUUCGCGGCUCAACCGUGGAAUUGCAGUUGAAACUGGCAGUCUUGAGUACAGGAGAGGUGGGCGGAAUUCGUGGUGUAGCGGUGAAAUGCUUAGAUAUCACGAAGAACACCGGUGGCGAAGGCAGUUCACUGGACUGCAACUGACGCUGAGGCUCGAAAGUGUGGGUAUCAAACAGGAUUAGAUACCCGAGUAGUC